AUCCUCCGGUGUGAACUUCUCCCAGGGCUGUUGAUGCUUCAUCUACUCUUCUGGCAGUGGGGGCCUGGACCUUAGUUACCCGGGAAGCGUGAGUCAUGUUGCACAGUUGAGCUGGCACAUAAAACUACGAGGUAGGAAACGAUUCAGGUAUAAGGUACUUUGGGGAUAGAAACAUUUUCUAUGUAAGAUACAAAUGGCUCUGUGAAGACUGAGGGAGGCUGGGGACACUAAACAGGUCCACUGUGAAAAAGGAUAGGUCAUGCACAUUGGAAAUGCCUCAAAGGACACUCCAGGAAAGAGGAGGGUAGAGCAAACACCGAAAGGUGACAAAUAGCUAUGCAAGAUAAACAGCAGGUGCUGUCGAGUUAGGCUGGUUUAUGGGAGGAGUCAAAACAUUAAGCAUUUGGGGCAGGUUGCAAAGGGUAUGGACAGCCAGACAGACAGAGGGUGUGAGUGUUUUCUCUCUGCUCUGUGGGGAGUGUAUAGGAUCUAGAUCAUAAUGUUCACUAGCAGUAUAAUGCAAGACAGACAUAUGAUUGUUUUUAAAUGGUUUGCUUCUAGUUUUUUUUUUUUAAGGAGGCAAUGAAUCCAUAGUAUACUUACGUAGCCCAAUAUAUACUGUUUCAGAAUGUAGUAUGAAAAUUAUUGAGAUGUCUUCUAUUUUUUUGUUUUAGUACCUUACAUUUAAAACACAACUCCACUAAGGGUAACCUCAUCUUUUAAAAAAGAUUUAUUUAUUCAUUUUAUAUAUGUGAGUAUACUGUCGCUCUCUCUCUUCAGUCACACCAGAAGAGGGCAUUGGAUCCCACUAUAGACUGUUGUGAGCCACCUUGUGGUUGCUGGGAAUUGAACUCAGGACCUCUGGAAGAGCAGUUGGUGCUCUUAACUGCUGAGUCAUCUCUCCAGCCCCAGGUAACCUCAUUCUGAUGCUCAGGAUCCACAAGUUAGUCGGAAAAUGAUAAGCAUAUUGUGGAGUAAAACAGCACAAAAGGGGAAAGGCCCCUUGCGGGUGGGACCAUCCCUGGGCUGGGUGUCUUGGGUUCUAUAAGAGGGCAGGCUGAGCAAGCCAGGGGAAGCAAGCCAGUAAGGAACAGCCCUUCAUGGCCUCUUCAUCAGCUCCUGCUUCCUGACCUGCUUGAGUUCCAGUCCUGACUUCUUUCAGUGAUGAACAGCAAUGUGGAAAUGUGUUCUGCCCAGUUUAUAGAACAAGGAAUUGAAGCUUGGAGAAGAUUGAUGGACCACUCAAGUUCCCUGGAUGGUCCAGGAUGCAGACUGAGGAUGGCCUAAAACAUUAGUUUUGCUGGCUCCCUGUGCUUGGCUAACUUUAGAGCCUCUUACCUUGCCACAGUCUUUUCUAUGAAGGACAGAGAGCCAAGGAGUGGACCAACAUGCCUGAGUUUACACAGUGGACCUGAGGACCGUCACCUCCCAGUGCAAUGUUCCUGUGUACUGCCACUGAAGAGACAGGUGGGAGGGAGCUCAAGGUUGACUUGCCUAACAACCAUUGCUUGAAAGACAAAGCUCCCAAGGAGAGCACAAAAUACCUCACUCGAGACUCCUCUGCAUCACCAACCAGUGUGAAGAAAGCCUGCAGCUGUCAGCAGAGUAUUCUUUGUCUCGGUGACACGCUGUGCCUACAGUUGGACUAGAAACUUUGGAUUAGGGUGUGAGUCGUGCCCCAUAGGACAGAGGUGGUGCAUGUAGCCUCAUUUUGGAGUUUAUUUAGAGAGGAGAAAGAAUGUACCAUAGUCCCCAAAGGCUCUAGGUUACAGUGAAUUCUCUUUAGUUCAGUUAUAGUUUAGUUUAGCUUGGUUUGGUUAGCUGUGGUUCCGUUCUGUUCCGUUCUGUUCUGUUCGGUUCAGUUCGGUUCAGUUGCAGAGUUGUUGCUCUUUCAUGCUUUGCAUCCCAACUCCCUGCUCUCUCUUGGCUUUGGUUCCCAUCAGGUCCAGAAUAAAUGGCAAGGAGAGGGUCAUAG
ensembl:antisense 4933431E20Rik RIKEN cDNA 4933431E20 gene